rnacentral:rRNA from 1 species
AACGAACGCUGGUGGUAUGCUUAAUACAUGCAAGUCGAACGGGCAUAGCAAUAUGUCAGUGGCAAAUGGGUGAGGAAUAUAUAGGAACCUCCCUAGCAGUAAGGAAUAACUUUGGGAAACCAAAGCUAAUGCCAUAUAUUACCCCUUAAGAAAUUAAGGGGGAAAGAUUUAUCGCUGUUAGAUGGGCCUGUAUCAGAUUAGCUAGUUGGUAGGGUAAUGGCCUACCAAGGCAAUGAUCUGUAGCUAGUCUGAGAGGAUGAUCAGCCGCACUGGAACUGAGACACGGUCCAGACUCCUACGGGAGGCAGCAGUAGGGAAUAUUGGACAAUGGGCGCAAGCCUGAUCCAGCAAUACCACGUGAGUGAUGAAGGUCUUCGGAUUGUAAAGCUCUUUUAGUAGGGAAGAUAAUGACGGUACCUACAGAAAAAGCACCGGCUAACUUCGUGCCAGCCGCCGCGGUAA